rnacentral:rRNA from 1 species
GACGAACGCUGGCGGCGUGCUUAACACAUGCAAGUCGAACGGAAAGGCCCUGCUUUUGUGGGGUGCUCGAGUGGCGAACGGGUGAGUAACACGUGAGUAACCUGCCCUUGACCUUGGGAUAACUUCAGGAAACUGGGGCUAAUACCGGAUCGGCGCUCCUGCUGCAUGGUGGGGGUUGGAAAGUUUCGGCGGUUGGGGAUGGACUCGCGGCUUAUCAGCUCGUUGGUGGGGUAGUGGCUUACCAAGGCUUUGACGGGUAGCCGGCCUGAGAGGGUGACCGGCCACAUUGGAACUGAGAUACGGCCCAGACUCCUACGGGAGGCAGCAGUGGGGAAUAUUGCACAAUGGGCUGAAGCCUGAUGCAGCAACGCCGCGUGCGGGAUGACGGCCUUCGGGUUGUAAACCGCUUUCGCCUGUGACGAAGCGUGAGUGACGGUAAUGGGUAAAGAAGCACCGGCUAACUACGUG